CAUGGGGAAUAUUGCACAAUGGGCGCAAGCCUGAUGCAGCCAUGCCGCGUGUGUGAAGAAGGCCUUCGGGUUGUAAAGCACUUUCAGUAGGGAGGAAGGUAGUGUAGUUAACACCUGCAUUAUUUGACGUUAGCUGCAGAAGAAGCACCGGCUAACUCCGUGCCAGCAGCCGCGGUAAUACGGAGGGUGCGAGCGUUAAUCGGAAUUACUGGGCGUAAAGCGCAUGCAGGUGGUUUGUUAAGUCAGAUGUGAAAGCCCGGGGCUCAACCUCGGAAUUGCAUUUGAAACUGGCAGACUAGAGUACUGUAGAGGGGGUAGAAUUUCAGGUGUAGCGGUGAAAUGCGUAGAGAUCUGAAGGAAUACCGGUGGCGAAGGCGGCCCCCUGGACAGAUACUGACACUCAGAUGCGAAAGCGUGGGGAGCAAACAGGAUUAGAUACCCUGGUAG
rnacentral:rRNA from 1 species